GGAAUUCUGAUGCAUUUUAUUAUUAAAAUAAAAAUAAUUUUUUAAUAAAGUUUGAUAUAGUAGGUGUUGGUGCUGAUUUCCGCCCGACGGCGGAGCGACAGGAGUCGGUGGUGAGCCAGGCUGCUGGGGGCAAGACCUAUAAAAAAAGUUUUGAUUGAAAGUUGCUCUGACGGAUAUUCUCCGAUGCUCAAGUCAGAAAUCUAGU
rnacentral:lncRNA from 1 species